rnacentral:rRNA from 1 species
AUGGCUACGAAGAAAUAUUUCUUCUGCUAUGGAUCCUUCUCAAUUAAGGACGGCUCGGAAAUUAGAUUCUGGGAGGACAGAUGGCUAGGGAAUGCCACACUCCGGGAACAAUAUCCGGCUCUAUACAACAUUGUGCGCCAUAAGGGUGAUACUAUCGCCACGGUAAUGGAAUCAUUUUCGCCAAAUGUGACGUUCAGAAGAGAUUUAAUUGGA